CAUGGGAGUUCGGGGUGGUUGC
rnacentral:miRNA from 1 species